ensembl:lincRNA
CUCCGCUCCUCGCUCCUUUCUUUCGGCGAGGCUGGGCCGGCCUGCAUCACCGUGACAUCACCUCCAUUCAGGGCGCUCACCGAGCGCCCGCCGAGCUCCAGGGCUACACCUGGCCAGCAGUCAUCAGACCGCUACAAGCACACCUGGAGGUUCUUUGCAUCCAAUUUUCAUAGGCGAUACUGCUCACUCAAAGCCAUUCAGGGACAUUCCUUACAACACUGGAGCAGAAAAGCCUGUGUGCGGUCUCUCUCUCACCCGGCCGGAGCACGCCAUCUCCUCCCUGCAUUGAGACUGGAAGCCUGCCAGCCCCACAGCCUGCUUUCCAGGGCCCAGGUCUGUGCUGGACUCUUCUGGAGAAAGGAAGAGUGGAGGCUGAAGACAGAAAGAGACACAGCCGAGCUGCCCGAGCUGCAUGCGGGACCUCUGCCCACCCCUCUCCUGCGGCUGCAUGAUGGUCAUCGGAAGGGCCAUGACUGGGCAGGGAGGACCUGUCACCUCCCCUCCGUGGACUCCCUCCUCUGCUGCACAGCACCAGGUGUGGCCCUUCAACCCUGGCUCAUACUCGGGGGAACUGGAGGGUGGGGUGUGAUGCAAUGGGAACCCUACGGCCCACUCAUGCAGAGGCCACAUUGGGAGGUGGUUUAUUCUGCUUCUUUUUCCCACAGAACCAAGGUGCCACCUACACCCACCUGACCAGCACUCCCCAGGGGAUUCGGCCUUAAUCCUGGCCUCCCGUGGGCUCCAAAGAAUCUGGAUCACAAUAACCACAGAUAGGCUUAGAUUCCCCGGGCCACUGUCUGGCUUCACAGAUGUAGAAACUAGGGCUUGGGAAAGGACAGUGAUUGAGGGCCACUAGACCAAUACAGGACACAGCAGGACUGGCAGCCAGGUCAUCUAGCACCCUCCUUCCCCCUUGGCACCUGACACUCGGCCACCACCGGUUCCCUGGGGUGCAGGUCUCCUACCCCGUACAUCCCUUUUGCACAAAUGCGGUGGAGACCAUAGGGCCAUCUUGGAAUUCUGUCAUCUGUAGUGCCUCAAGCUCGUGUCCCUCCCCACCUGGCUGGACCCCCAGGUCAGCUCCUGGGAGGAUGAGUCUUCCUCCACAGACUGCCCCUCCCUGCUUGGUCAGACCCAAUCCCAAUGUCCAAUACAUGGAAACGUUGUGGUUUAGGCUCCCACAGAGGGCCUGAGAUUCUUGUGGGAAGCCAGAAAACAGGUGGCUGGGAACACGAUGGUUUUUUUUUUUUUUUUUUUUUUUUUUUUUUUUUUUUGAGACAGGGUCUUGCUAUGUAGUCCAGACUGGCCUUGAACUCACUGUGUAGCCGAGGCUGGCCUUGAACUCUUGGCUUGUACUCCUGGGUGCUGGGAUUACAGGCAUGCGCCACCAUGCCCACAAGCCUGGUAGUUCUAACCACAAGUGUGUUUCAUCAGCCUGGGUCCCCACUCUGCAUUCCUAUUGGUUCCCUCACCAGCAUCAUAAAAACCUGUAUUCAUUCAUUUAAUAAAUAUCUGUUGGGGUCAUGCUGAAAGGGCAGGAGUGGGGGCCAGGGGACCAAAAUGAACCAGACAUCUAUUUUGCCACUGGAAGCCGGAGGGUCUGGAGGAGAAGUGAAGAGAUGUUCCCCAAACCAGUGGAUUCCUGGCCAGGUUAUAAAACCCACUAAUUCUGUGACCUUAGCUAAGUCAGCUGAACUUUCUGCUUUCUCAUUUGCUUGUCUGAAAACCUGGGACAAAUUUCCUAGGCUAUAGGUGAGGCUGACUACACAGAUAGGCUUGGCUAAACCAGACAGAAAAAGAAUCUUGGCCAGGUGCCUUGAAGUACGCCCAUAAUCCCAGAUACCUGGGAGACUGAGGCAGGAGGAUCUCAAAUUUGAGGCCAGCCUGGGUGACUCAGUAAGACCCCGUCUUAAAAUAAAAUAAAGAGCUGGGGAUGUAGCUCAGUGGUAGAGCACCCCUCAGUUUGAUCCUCAGUAUCCCUCCGCCAGAUGGAACUCUGACCUUCCAAGUACAGCACCAGCUCUUUCCCUACCACGCCCAGCUCUCCAGACCACUUGUUACCAUGGAAACCAGCCCAAGCAGCCAGCCUGCCCUCUAAGGUCAGACUUACAGAAGUCAGUCUAGGAGUCUAACAACUUCCCAGAAAGCCAAACAAUCACCCAGAAGCCCAGAGCACGGUAGGCCAGGCCUUGAUUUAUGAUGGAUGGACAGUUUGCCUUGUUCUCGUCCCUGUUUCCAACUUGCCUUUCCAAGCAAAAGCCACAUAUGUUCCUCUGGGCCAUUAAAUGGGGUGUCCUGCUCCCAGUUCGCUGCCUCCUGAUCCCCAGGCUGGAAGCCUUCUGUCAGGCACAUUGGAAACGGUCUCCUGUCCACUCUGAAGCUCUCCUGCUCCCUGCCCUGCCUUGGCGUCCCUCCUGAGCGCGUGUCCUUGUUGGCUGGAUGGUCUUUGCUUACUUCCAUGUUAGGAUCAGAGGCGGGUGGCAAAGCUGGUUAAGAGUCCAGAAGCCGGGGCCGGGAUGGAGCUCAGCGGGAGGGUGCUCGUCUACAGCGUGCAAGGCCUGGGUUCGAGCCCUAGCCCUGGGGAAAUAAAAAAAUCCAGAAUCCUAGAGAUUAAGGAAAAACGACUCAAGGUCAGGUCCAGAGGAGGUACCAGAGACAAGGAGCAGUGCAGGGCUCUGACAUCACCACCCAGAUCUGCUCCAGGCCACUGGGCUGAGCUCUGACACCCUUGGUGGUUUGGGGCGGCCUCUUCACACGCAGCCGCACGAACCCCGUAAUUACAGGCGUGGCGUCCCCGUGGCACCAGAAACAGAGCGAGCGAGGGCAGAAUGAGAGGGUUGAGGCCGGGUCUCCAGGCCACUGGGGUGGGGCCUCUGCCCCACUCACCCACAGCUGCUGUGCUGUCUAGAGCCCAGAGGGACACCCGGGAAAUCCCUGGACCAACCCUGGACCAACCCCAGGCACAGACGAUUGGCAAGGAGGGAGAACUGGAGCCCCUGAUCUGUGCAGUGCUGGGAACCCAGGCUGAGAUGCGAGUAGGGGUUACAUCCUAGUCCCGGUGCACAGCAACCUCUCCUUCCACCUGGCAGCUUUCACACCCUUCCUUCUCCCCCAAAGUGCCCCCCAGCCCCCUAAGUGGUCUGCAGUUCCGGGCUCAUCAGUGCAGCCUCCAGAGUGCCACCAGCAGGGUCUUUCUAGAGCACAGCGCUA